AUUGAACGCUGGCGGCAGGCCUAACACAUGCAAGUCGAGCGGAUGAGUGGAGCUUGCUCCAUGAUUCAGCGGCGGACGGGUGAGUAAUGCCUAGGAAUCUGCCUGGUAGUGGGGGACAACGUUUCGAAAGGAACGCUAAUACCGCAUACGUCCUACGGGAGAAAGCAGGGGACCUUCGGGCCUUGCGCUAUCAGAUGAGCCUAGGUCGGAUUAGCUAGUAGGUGAGGUAAUGGCUCACCUAGGCGACGAUCCGUAACUGGUCUGAGAGGAUGAUCAGUCACACUGGAACUGAGACACGGUCCAGACUCCUACGGGAGGCAGCAGUGGGGAAUAUUGGACAAUGGGCGAAAGCCUGAUCCAGCCAUGCCGCGUGUGUGAUGAAGGCC
rnacentral:rRNA from 1 species